UCGAGAAGCCUGUGUACAGAUCUUUGUUCCACAAGAUACCUACUGAGUGGUUAGAAGCACAAGGCAGCCAACAGUUCAUCAUAGCCAGCCUCCUGAUCCGUGCUGCCACCGUGAACGACCCUGCAUUAAGUUACAAAUCUCUGCAGCUCACAAAGCCGAUCUGCAGAUGCCUAGCAAGGGACUCGGCCCCUCACGUGCUGGGCUGCACGUAGCUUGGAUCCCCAGGCUUAAUUUCUUCAUCUUUUGGCUCCUUCUCCACCUUCGUAAGGCUGUGAAGGUCUCCUCUUUGCUGCCGAGCACGGGAUGCAGAGCUGCCCAAGUCAGUUCACCACCGGAGCUCUCAGAUUCCUGCUUCUGCUACCAUGCUGGCUAUUAGCUAGCUUGCCUCUGCUCUCCCACAAUGGAGGAAUGCACGGCAGCACACAGGCAGACCAGUUGCUGGAGAAGUUGAGAGUUCUGCAUCCAGAUCCACAGGCUGCAGGAAGAGAGAAACCCUGGGCCUGGUUUGGGCCCAUUUCCUCCAACAAGGCCAUGACUCCUAAUCCUUUCUAAUAGUGCCACUCCCUAAGCAUUCAAAUAUAGGAGCCUCUGAAGGCCAUUCUUAUUCAAACUACCACAGGGUCUUAGCCGUUCUGCGAAGAAUCCAAAGCCUACCUGAACUGGAAAAUGGUGAUAAUCC
rnacentral:lncRNA from 1 species